CGAUAAACAUAAUUGCGUAUUCGUACUACAUUUCCCUAUAUGCACGAGAGUCUGAAAAUGCAGAAACUGAAGACCAAAGUUCUUUCGUGAUAACUUAAGGGCAGCAGAGCAAGGAUGGCAGAGGAACAGACGAGGGUAUCCGAGUUGCCCGAAGACGUGGAAACGGAUGACUGCAUGACCACCUACACGUAUAUUUACAGCCCGGAUUUGCUGAAAGACCAUGUUGCCUUCAUAACUGGUGGUGGAUCUGGAAUUGGAUUCCGAAUUACAGAAGUGCUAAUGAGGCAUGGCUGUGACGCUGUGAUUGGCAGCAGGAAUCUGGAUAAGCUCACGCAGGCGGCUAAGAAGUUGAGUUCUGCCACUGGGAGGCGUUGCCUGGCUCUGCCUAUGGAUGUCCGGCAGCCAGAAACCAUUUCCACUGCUGUAGAGGAGGCAUUGAAAGAGUUUGGAAGAAUUGACAUCCUCAUUAAUAAUGCUGCUGGUAACUUCCUGUGCCCUGCCACUGCGCUCUCCUUCAAUGCCUUUAAGACCGUAAUGGAAAUUGACACCAUGGGCACAUUCAAUACAAGCAAGGUGGUCUAUGAAAGGUGGUUCAAGGACCAUGGGGGCUCCAUUGUAAACAUCUCAGCAACUCUGGGGUACAAGGGCCAAGCUCUCCAGGUCCAUGCUGGGUCUGCAAAGGCUGCCAAUGAUGCCAUGACUAGACACCUUGCAGUAGAGUGGGGACCAAGCGGUGUCAGGAUCAACACCCUGGCGCCUGGUCCAAUCUCAGGCACAGAGGGAUUCCGCCGGCUGGGUGGAAUGAGUGCAGAGAGCAGCGGUGCCUUCCAGACCAUCCCACUGCAGCGGGCCGGGAACAAGACUGAGAUGGCCCAUGGCGUGCUGUUCCUGGCCAGCCGGGCGUCUUCGUACGUCACGGGUGCCUGCCUCGUGGCAGAUGGAGGAAGCUGGCUCACCUCCGCUAACAACCUGCCUGCGCUCCUGGGUAUAGCCUUCUCCCAAUCUGCUAAACUCUGACUCUCCACCCAGCCAUCCCAGGUGUGUAGGAGAGGGAAGUAGAGAUUGGGCAGAGCCAUGGCACAGCAGGGAAAGGAGUUGGUGAAACAAUGUGGUGGAGAUGUUGUGGUGGAGGAAUGGACUAGAUUACUGGUCAUCUACACUGAAGAGAGACAAGUAAAAGACUAAAGAAAGUUAAACUAACCUCUGCAACAUGAAAGGGAUGGAUCUGUUUACCUACUCCAAGGGACCAAAAAUCAGUAGAAUGGGACUGGGAGUGAGAGAGAACCACACAGAACAUCCUGGCUUCAGACGGUUAAUAAAUUAAUAAUACUUGUUUUAUUGUCUUUGGCAUCAGAAAUGUUUUAAAUGGCACUUUUGAAAGUAAUUCUGGCUUUGAUUGUUGCUAAAUGACUACAUGUAAAUUAAAGCAUCUUUCUUGAAUACAAAAAAUGGUUACAUUUUCUGAUAUGUAUUAGGUAUAAUUUUUUACUUCAUUUUUGGUUUUGAUUUACAGCACACAAAAAGACAGUAUUAAUUCCCUGAAUAAAACAUCUAACCUUC